ACAGCAGUCGCCGCGGUAAUACGUAGGUCCCGAGCGUUGUCCGGAUUUAUUGGGCGUAAAGGGAGCGCAGGCGGUUUAGUAAGUCUGAAGUUAAAGGCAUUGGCUCAACCAAUGUAUGCUUUGGAAACUGUUAGACUUGAGUGCAGAAGGGGAGAGUGGAAUUCCAUGUGUAGCGGUGAAAUGCGUAGAUAUAUGGAGGAACACCGGUGGCGAAAGCGGCUCUCUGGUCUGUCACUGACGCUGAGGCUCGAAAGCGUGGGUAGCGAACAGGAUUAGAUACCCCAGUAGUCCCUGUCUCUUAUACA
rnacentral:rRNA from 1 species